CCUACGGGUGGCAGCAGUAGGGAAUCUUCCACAAUGGGCGAAAGCCUGAUGGAGCAACGCCGCGUGGGUGAAGAAGGUCUUCGGAUCGUAAAACCCUGUUGUUAGAGAAGAAAGUGCGUGAGAGUAACUGUUCACGUUUCGACGGUAUCUAACCAGAAAGCCACGGCUAACUACGUGCCAGCAGCCGCGGUAAUACGUAUGUGGCAAGCGUUAUCCGGAUUUAUUGGGCGUAAAGGGAACGCAGGCGGUCUUUUAAGUCUGAUGUGAAAGCCUUCGGCUUAACCGGAGUAGUGCAUUGGAAACUGGGAGACGUGAGUGCAGAAGAGGAGAGUGUAACUCCAUGUGUAGCGGUGAAAUGCGUAGAUAUAUGGAAGAACACCAGUGGCGAAAGCGGCUCUCUGGUCUGUAACUGACGCUGAGGUUCGAAAGCGUGGGGAUCAAACAGGAUUAGAUACCCUAGUAGUC
rnacentral:rRNA from 1 species